UAACUUCCGCAGGCUGGCUGGCCGCCAGGCUGGGCUGGGUGAGCAUCUCUUCCUAAAGCUAACCCUUGAGCACUACUAGGAGA
rnacentral:pre_miRNA from 1 species